CUCAGGAAGGGCCAGAGACAAGCUUCACACCCACCACUCAAACCAAGACUCCAGUAUGCUACCAUCCUGCUGUUCUGAUCAUGUCUGUGUUGAGUUGGUGUGGCACAGGGUGUGGCCAAGUGACCAGCUCUGCCAGUGAGAUGAAUGGAUCACCAAUGAUGUGUGCCACUUUGGGAUCUUGGCUUUUCUGGAGUGGAUGUUCCUCCUCCGUGCUCUCCUUUCUUUCCCCUGGCUGAAUGGAUGGAGGAUCCAGAAGACCAGAGGAACCUGGACCGCUGCAUCACCACACACAAUAAAAUCCAGAGCUCUGUGUACGCCAGGCAUGUGCUCUACCACUGAGGACCAGCUCCAGACUUCAAAAAUAUCUUUUGAAAGAAGGACAAGGAUAUAAGCAACCUUAUUGCUCUCAAACCUGGAUGUCAGAGGAAUCCAGCCAUCCCACCUGACCCAUUCUGGGUACUUGAAAAUAAGUAGACCCUGUCCCGAGAUCAGUGACCAAGAAUCCAGAGAUGCUGGGACCUGGAAAUCUGUGUUUAAAUUGACACGGCAAGUCCUGAGAAUUGCAUUGGGAAAAAACUUCCUCAUGCACCCUCCCCCUCCAUCAUAUAGGUGAGGAAUCUGUGGU